GAUGAACGCUGGCGGCGUGCCUAAUACAUGCAAGUCGAGCGAACGGACGAGAAGCUUGCUUCUCUGAUGUUAGCGGCGGACGGGUGAGUAACACGUGGAUAACCUACCUAUAAGACUGGGAUAACUUCGGGAAACCGUAGCUAAUACCGGAUAAUAUUUUGAACCGCAUGGUUCAAAAGUGAAAGACGGUCUUGCUGUCACUUAUAGAUGGAUCCGCGCUGCAUUAGCUAGUUGGUAAGGUAACGGCUUACCAAGGCAACGAUGCAUAGCCGACCUGAGAGGGGGAUCGGCCCACCGGGAACUGAGACCCGGCCCAGACCCCUACGGGGGGAAGGGUGAGGGAAUUUUCCGAAAAGGGCGAAAGCCGGCGGGAGCAACGCCGCGGGGGGGAUGAAGGUCUUCGGAUCGUAAAACUCUUUUAUUAGGGAAAAACAUAUGUGUAAGUAACUGUGAAAAUUUUGGCGGUACCAAAAAAAAAAGCCGCGGCUAACUAAGU
rnacentral:rRNA from 1 species